GACUCCAGCCAGCUUAGUUCUUUGGAGAAGCAGUGUGGAGUCCUAAAAAAGGAGGCUGAGUCUUACCGUUGAGGUCGGUGCCGGUAGAGAAUGGGAGGGAGUCUGCAGGAGCCAAGCACCCUAAAGAAGAGGAAGAGAGCACGUUGCUGAGAUUUGAACAGCGACCUGAGAGGUCAGACUGGACCCAGGCCUCCUCAAGGUGAGAGGGGACGACGGGUGGAAGCCCAAGUUUCUACACAAUACUCCCCCAGCAAAUCGUAUUGUAGAAAUAGGAACUUAUUGCAAACUGUUCUUUAAAAGUAGUUUCAGAAAUGUUCCAAACCUUUGCUCUGCAGAAGCAACGGAGAUGGAGAUUCUUCCCUUUUCCCGGCCCUUCGGUCCUUCUCCGGAAGAGCUACUCUGGCCAGCUCUGGGCUAGGGGCAGUGGCCGAAGAGAAGGGGAAAGUAAGGUUGAGAGCACUGGAUUCGAGCCCAGCAGAGAGCGGUUUCUAGGCCCCACCCACCCUCCCCCCAAGGUUUUCUUAAAAGUGAAUCUUGGCGUGGUUUUUGCAGACCAAACAUCAGAAACCCGGGAGAGGAAUCUAGAGAGUGCAUUUUGUUCUGUUUUGCUUUAAUAAUAAGUAGUGUGCCUUGUUAAACACCCUAUUACCCCCGCCCCCUUCUCCCACAACCUCUCUGGAGAAGAGUCUUUCCGGAGCGCCUAGAAACCUAAAAAUAACACGCCACGCUGAAGGUCCGGAGAAGCCACCGGCCACCUCUACAGAGUGGGGAUGCUGCCCGUGAAAGGUCAUCACUUUCUUCACCCCGACAACCUGACAACAAAGCCCAAGCAGUUGAUCCUUUCCUUCCUUUGAGCCCAGGAUCCAAGCCCGAAAUAGAUGGGGAGGCCCCAACCCUACAGCCAUGAGGAAAAAGUGGUUCCUCGGUGACCACCGUGGCCACCGUGGCCACCGUGACUAUCUUUCGAGUUAGAGCCUUUGGUCAAGUCUAGAUGUCACACUUUAAAUGCCUUCCAAUGUUCCCCUUCUCGAGUCUAAUUUUUGCAAAGAAAUGAGAUGGGACCAUCAGACUCUGCCUAUGUUGCUGCCAUCUGGUGUGCGAGCAGUCUCCAGCUUGUGCUCCAGCUUGUGCUGAGAAGCACGGCUGCAGUACCUUAGGGGUAAACCUAUGAUGCCAACCCCACUCACCUCCGCCAAUGUAAGUUCUUCCUCCCCUCCCCUGACAAUUCCAGCCUCGAUUAUCGGGUUAAAAAAAAUCGAAAAAACUCUUUAUAUAAAAACAAAACACGCUGAAUUUCAAAACGACCGCUCACCUCCUCUACAAGACAGCUUUUGUUUUCUUUGGCCGUGGUGGAUGAAAGGAGUUUAUUUUGAUUUUGUUUUCUUGUACCCACAUGUCUUGUAAAAAGGUUCCUGUGCACGGGCCUGCCUCCCCCACCCCAUGACCGCGGGGGCCUUGCUUCCAGACUUCGGUCCCCACCACUUGGGUUUUAAGCCCUCGCCUGGAGCCGAGGUGUAAUUGUGACCCGCCCUAGCUCCGAUCCUCCCGGGGAUGUGGUUGGCCUGGCCAGACUGAGGCCGGGACCUCCCAAGUGGCGGCCUAGGCUCUCGAGAGCUUCGAAGUCCGUGCCUCGCAGCCUCCUCCCCCUUUCUUUCCUCUGCGGACCUUGCUAGCUUUUUCUCUUGGCUCUGUACUUUGCUCACCUCCCAGCUCAGAAAGGGUAAAUCUUUUCUCUCUUUCUGUUUGCUUUAUUUUUGUUUCUUUCCCCUGUCAGGCAUCUUAUUAGGGCUCGCUUAGUCGCCUUCUCAUUGAAACCCCAGGUCCAGAGAAGCUAACAACCUUGAUGGAAAUCUGGGGCAAAGAACUGGGAGCCUCUAGCCGGCCCCCUCCGCGCCGCGGCGCAGUCGGAUCCCGGAGCGCUUCUGCAUAGCGUCAGCGCGCCGGGUAAUUUACCUUUCCUGCGCGUCUGUCAAUAUGACUAAUUUCCACCCGGGUCAAAAAGCCUUUCUCCGGCAGUCCAUCUUGGAGCGCUCUCUUAACGCGGUAGACGGGGGUGGUUGUUUUGUUUCCACCCUAGAAAUAAAUACUCUUGGGGCGUCUCUGCCCGGGCAACCCUGAGAGGAGCAGGCGAAUAUACACCAUGUCAAUUAAAAGCAGUUUGCCUUGAACUACGAACUGUGAUUGGGUUUCAACGACAGCGACUUGCUGGCCUUUUUAAUACACAUUACCUAACUCGUCCUUGAUUCCAACGCUUUCUUUAGAAACAUAUUUUUUUUCCCAAGAAGAAAGUAAUUAUUGCUCCAAUUCUUCUCCAUUGGGUGCAAUUCCCUAGUGAAACAGGGUCACAAUUCAGGGUGUGUUUUAAACAUCGGAUAUGAUUGCUAAUCUGACCUAGACUAUAUAUCAUCCAGGCGAUGUUUUACAAUAAUUUUUAAACUGCUACCGACCUCUAACUGCGAACCCGUGCUGUGGAGGCCUCCAAUGGAAGGCUGGAUGAUUCUCCAGUGACAGACUCAGGCUUCUACAGGCUGAAACAAAGGAAUGGGAGACAAGGACACUCAUAGUUGGGGACACCCACUUAGGUCCCUUCAGCUCUGAAAUAUUUUACUUCACUGAUACAGGUGUAACUGGGACUGAAAAGUCUUCAACAGUAAGAACACAACU
rnacentral:lncRNA from 1 species